AUACGGAGGGAGCGAGCGUUAAUCGGAAUCAUUGGGCGUAAAGCGCGUGUAGGCGGCUUGGCAAGUCGGGUGUGAAAUCUCGGGGCUCAACCCCGGAACUGCACUCGAAACUGCCUCGCUAGAGUCCCGGAGAGGAAGGCGGAAUUCCCGGUGUAGAGGUGAAAUUCGUAGAUAUCGGGAGGAACACCAGUGGCGAAGGCGGCUUUCUGGACGGUGACUGACGCUGAGACGCGAAAGCGUGGGGAGCAAACAGGAUUAGAAACCCCAGUAGUCC
rnacentral:rRNA from 1 species